rnacentral:antisense_RNA from 1 species
GUUCUGGAUUAGGGAAUUGGAAUCCAGCAAGAAAGCAUAGCAUGGAUUUGAAUUAAUAACCAAUUCAUAUAUUUUUGAGAGCCCUAAAUCAUAAUGUAUUUUCAUUUUGUGAAACUGCUUUCCAAAACUCCAGUGAGAAAAUCUCGUCGGCAUGCCGUAAGCUCCAAAUGUAUAAAUGAUAUCAGCCGGACAGAUCUCAUAACGCAUCGGGUAAAAGUCGAGCCCAAAUCCUUUCGCAAUUUCCGUUAUUUCCUCAAUUGCAUAUUCGAGGG